rnacentral:rRNA from 1 species
UUUUUAUUGAGAGUUUGAUCCUGGCUCAGGACGAACGCUGGCGGUAUGCUUAACACAUGCAAGUCGAACGAGACGGGAUGGAAUGACCCUUCGGGGGAAUGAAAUCCUAGAAAGUGGCGAACGGGUGAGUAACGCGUGGGUAACCU